UGCUCAAUAAAAUUUUGAUAUUUCUUCAAUAUUCGGUCACGUUUUGACAAAGGAGGAGAGAUAAAUUUUUGGACGGGGACCCUUGGGCUUAUCUCUUCUAUCUUCUCUCUCUUUCUCUCUCCUCUAUCACAUAGGGCGGAAGCCUAUCGCUGUCUCCGUUUCACUCUUUCUCCUCUCUUUUUCUCUCCCUCCCUCUCUAUAGUCCCUCAUGACCACCUUUCCCUUCUUUCUCCUGGUGGUCCCUCUGGUCCACUUAUCUUCUUCUUCUUUUUGUUGGACUACAUGCAUGUCCACCUACUUUCUGUACACCCUCAGGUCCACCUCCUACUUCUUUCUCAGGUAGUCCUUGGUGUCCAUCUCACUUUCUAUUCUUUUUCAGUACACCUUUACUUUACGUAUAUUGUGCGCCCUCGUGUCGUGUAGUGUCGCGUGGCGUCGCCCUUUUCCCACUCACAAUCUGUUGUCCCGUGAGACCACUAUGCCACGAAUCUUUCUUCCUACACAUCGCCGUCGGUGAAACCUUCCAAACCAUAGCCCCCUGUUAAACCUUCCUACCCAUCGCCGCCUGUAAAACCUUCCUACCCAACGCCGCCUGUGAAACCUCCUUACUAUCGUCCUGUGUGUAAACCUCUACCCAUUGCCGUCUGCACCAACCGCACGCGAGUCACCUCUCGCACCCCUUAACCUCGCACGGUAACCCGACUUCCUCCUUUGCCCAUUCCAUCCACCAACAUUCCCUCGCCCCUGCAACUCCAUCUACACCUCUCUCCCUACCCUUCUCUUCUUCAUAUUCACCCACCUGCAAACCACCUCAGCCAUCUCCGCCUCUCUUUCCACCUCGGCUGCACCCACCUCUGCCUCUCUUAACCUCACGCAGCAACCCCAUUUUUUCUCCGCCUCUUCCCGCUGCUACACCACAACCUUACAGCUGCAUCCAGCAACAAUCAUCUCUCCACUCCUACCACCACCUACUGCCCUCGCCUCUCUUUCCUCUCUUCUCUCCGCCAUUUCCGCACCAUCAGAUGUGAUCCAACCCCCUUACUUUCCGUCAAUCAUGCUGCGCCUCACUGCUGUCCCAUUUCCGUCAUAGCCCCACCUUUCCCCGCCAUCUUCGCAGCCUCGUGCUCCCCUCUCGCUUCAGCCUUCCUUUCGCUCUCUCUACAACUCGCAAAAUAAAAACCCAUGAAGCCACUUCACUCGGCCGUUUUCUCUCUCUCUCCAACUUACCAGUCUCCUCUCCACUUGCAGCCAGGAACUCAAUCAUCUUCUUCUCCACCGUUUGCAGUUAAAUCGUGGG
rnacentral:lncRNA from 1 species